UACAAUUUAUUAAGUAAAGUCGAGUGAAUGAUGUUUUUUUCAAAUUUCUAAUGCUUUAUUUUGGUAAAUUUUUCCUCGCUAGCUCGCCACUUAUUUGUAUACUACGUGGAUGUCUGUGUAUGUUUGUUUGAGAGUGUCUAGAUAGCUUGCUCUAGUUUCGUUAAUCCGGACAUUAUUUGGAAAGCGAUUGUAUAUAUAUCUAACUUUGUGUUGCUGAAUUGAAAGCCAAAGUCCGCUGCAUUUUCCAAAAGCCUCUGGGGCUGCCACAUUCCAAGCAAACGCCCACUUGAGUGCAAACUCCUCGAUGCCAUUCGGAAUCCAAAUCGAGAGUGGUUGAAUUUUUGAUAUUUCAAAUGCUUUAUUCUGUGGGCAGUGACACAAAAACGCAGGCGAGACAUACGAGUAUUUCAACACUCAAAUGCGUAACUUGCAACUCGCCAAAAAUGGCGACAAAGCGUUGAGCUCAGACUUACACAUACGCGUUCUCGCAUUCGCCAGAUACGUUUACACUUGCUUUGUGAACAAAUUUACGAUGACGACUCGCUGUUUUUUGUUCACUCAAUUUUUUUGUUAAUUUAUUUUAUUUUUCAUCUUUUUUGCACUUACUUAAUUUUUGUCUGGGCUUUUUGGCAUAUUUCUGGUGCUCAUAAAUUAAUAUGACGCUCACGUUGGCUUGGGAGACGUGUACGAUUGAAUGAGUACCCAUAUCUAUAGAUAUAUAUCACAUAUAUUUUAUACUGUUCAGAUUUAAGUUGUGGUUUCGUGUGUGUGUGCAUUUGUGUGUGUGGACAGUGCUGGCACGCACAGUGGGCAUGUUGUCAAACAUCUGUGCGGAUGACAAGAAUGUUUGCAUUGAGAUGCCCACCCACCCACAGAACGAUUCCAGCUCUGAUUCCGUCCGUCCCACUCUAUAAACAAUCUAAUCUGCGUGUCCAUUGUGCUCAUAUGCUAAGUGAAUACAAAUUGCUCGUAAUUACGGAACGGCAGCUAGUUCGUUUGGGUCUGCGUUGUGUUACUGCGCCACAUAAAAAUAGAAAUAAUAAAAUUUAAUCGUACAUCAAAUUGUGCGGCAAAUGAAUUUGCACUGUUCUGUUCAGAAAUCAAAUUUAAAUUGCGGUGGAAAUGCUUUAUGAAUGGGUUAUUUGCCCUGCCCCUUUCCAAAAUCCCCCUCUUUGUGUGCGUAAAAAGUUGAGCGUUGAGUGUUUCUUUGUGGUCAGUCGAAAUUGGAUGUGUGAAUUGCUAAUGGAAAUUACUUUGGCCAAAUGACAGCUAACAAUGGGCGGCUGAUAACUAAAGGUGAGGGCAGCAUAAAACUGUCAGUUGUAUCUAAAAAUAUUUCGAAAGACAAUGAACACCUUAGUGACCACUGGCACGCCCUCACUUAACUUAAAUUGUGCAGCUGUUACUGUAGACUUCCCCUUUAUUUUUUCGGCGAUACACCUGAAAUAUCCGUCUUUCAUUGAUAGCCCUAAUCGAGCCUCCUUUUGAUUAGCUGCAGUCCAAUCAGCGCGGCUUAUCUGUUCGCGGGAAUGGAAUGGAUUUCAGAUUGGUUCGGUUGCCGCCGGCGAGUUCCCACUGUGACCUGCUUGAAAUGGCACUCGAGUGUCGACCACUUAAUAACGAAUUUCUGGCUGCCCGAACCAGCAGUAAAGAUGCAUCUGAGCUCGGAUUGUGUUCCCAUCGGAACUGCACUUUAACAGAAUGUUGGAAAAAGCGCAAGAGCGGGAAAGCUUAAUGGGAAAAGGAAAAGCGAAAAGCGAAUAGCGAAAAGGUCAGCAAGAGAAGGGAAAUACAAUUUCAAAAGCGACGACCUCCGGCUGUGAUGUCGUGUCGAGUUACACAGUUCUGAGAAGGGCUUCCCUGCUGCAUAUUCCACUAACCGGUCAUUACUUUUACUUGUUGUUUUGUUUUUUUCGCGUGCCAUAACUGUUGCAGAUCUUUUCGACGGCUGCAAUGCAAAUCGUUGCGUAUACUCAAUUAAUUGAGACAAAUUACCCAUACGCCGGGUGGGUGAAUGACUGGCGAGAGUUCAACUCAGUUUAAAUCGAAGAGCUCUUCUUUUUUUACCAACCGAAUAAAAAUGGAAAAUUUCCCAUAAUAAAACUUUAACUUGGCCCCAUCGAUCCAAUGGCAAUUAUUAUUAGAUUUCGUUUUGUUUGCUUCUGAUUUCUGCUCCCAUUCGGGAGCACCUUGAACCACAUUAUUCGCGAAAUUGCCCCCACAGUGAAUCUGCCGCUGGUGGAGGCAGUUCCCAAACUGCCAUGUAUUUCAAUCAAACAAUCAAACGCGGCUCGUGCUAAGAUAUAUGCCCGUGUCUGCCGUUUGAACUGGAGGCAAUAAUGCGAAUCCGAGUCCCCGACUUGGGCACGCCAUCAUCCUCCCCCCGAAAUUCCCACUGCCUCGGAGUUUGUUUCGGUCUUGACUCCGUUCAGGUUCUGAUCGCGUAGGAAAGCCGAGCCAAGAUAAUCCGGAAUCAACGGUUUCCAUGUAGAACUGCCUCAUAAUUCAAAAUAAUCGCCUGCGGAUAUCUGCGUUUCUCGCACAGCUCGGGCACUUUUCAUGUAUCUUUGCCCCAGUGGCUGCCUUUGAUGCUGUGACUGUGAUGUGGCCAACAGCUGCAACCAUUUUGGCCAAACGUCCCACUUCCCAGCCGGCGAAGAGCAACAAUGAGACGAAAAUUUACAAAUUGAAUUUGCUGUCAGCUGCCAGGAUGGAUGGUUGACGCAAAUGACUUCUUGUCCCUCCCACUCCCACGUCCGUAGGGUAAAUUAAUUUUUGUGGCCGAAUUCGGUUUGCUUUUGGGACCCCGUGCGCUAAGUGCACCAUCCUCCGGCUCGAUCUCCCACAUUAGAUUUAAGUGUAGGCCCCUUGCCUGCGGAUUGUGGCCAUUUCCGCCCACCUCUUAGCUGCGCUUUGACGACGACUAAUUUCACUGAUAAUUGCCUGACCAGGCCAAAAAGAUGCAAAUGUAUCUGCCGCUCACAGCUGUUGCUGCCUGUGAUGCGAUGACAUAAUCGAGUGCAUCGAGUGUGCACCUAUUUGCAUUUCUUUCGGUCAGAGGCAGGCGUUGAUAGAACAUGGAAAAAGUAAAGAAAAUGAACGAACGGAACCGGUUUUAACCGAACAUUUUGUUUAGAAUUAUUCAUCAGUGUAAAAGUACGUUUAUUAAGCUGCAUAAUAUCGUGUAGAAGAUCGUAUCUAGUGUUGUAGAGCUUUUUUUAUUCGAUUUCAAAAAUUGGCUAGUAAUGUAAAAUAAAAAUAGGAAGUAAAAUAACCAUAAUCUGUGCUUAUAUAAAACUAGCAAUGCCACAAAUUGUAAAUGUGCUUGGGCACGUUUUACUUUGAGAAAAAGGGAGAUAGUUUUGUCACAAGCUAAAAAAAUUCAAAUGGCUUACAUUGCCAUAAGAAGAUAAACUAAAUCAAAUGGAUUAUGUUAAGGGUACAGAAAAAUAUAGAACAGAAAAAUAAAGAACAGAAAAAUGCGGAACAGAAAAAUAAA